AGUGAACGCUGGCGGUAGGCCUAACAAAUGCAAGUCGAACGGCAGCACAGUAAGAGCUUGCCCUUACGGGUGGCGAGUGGCGGACGGGUGAGGAAUACAUCGGAAUCUACUUUUUCGUGGGGGAUAACGUAGGGAAACUUACGCUAAUACCGCAUACGACCUACGGGUGAAAGCAGGGGACCUUCGGACUUUGCGCGAUUGAAUGAGCCGAUGUCGGAUUAGCUAGUUGGCGGGGUAAAGGCCCACCAAGGCGACGAUCCGUAGCUGGUCUGAGAGGAUGAUCAGCCACACUGGAACUGAGACACGGUCCAGACUCCUACGGGAGGCAGCAGUGGGGAAUAUUGGACAAUGGGCGCAAGCCUGAUCCAGCCAUACCGCGUGGGUGAAGAAGGCCUUCGGGUUGUAAAGCCCUUUUGUUGGGAAAGAAAAGCAGCAGGUUAAUACCCCGCUGUUCUGACGGUACCCAAAGAAUAAGCACCGGCUAACUUCGUG
rnacentral:rRNA from 1 species